GUGACGCGCAUGAAUGGAUU
rnacentral:ncRNA from 2 species